UUCCACACUGUGGAAGCUUUGUUCUUUCACUCUUUGCAAUAAAUCUUGCUACUGCUCACUCUUUGGGUCCACACUGCUUUUAUGAGCUGUAACACUCACCGUGAAGGUCUGCAGCUUCACUCCUGAAGCCAGCGAGACCAUGAGCCCACUGGGAGGAAUGAACAACUCCAGACGCGCCACCUUAAGAACUGUAACACUCACCGCGAAGGUCUGCAGCUUCACUCCUGAGCCAGUGAGACCACGAACCCACCAGAAGGAAGAAACUCCCAACACAUCUGAACAUCAGAAGGAACAAACUCCAGAUGUGCCACCUUAAGAGCUGUAACACUCACCGUGAGGGUCCGCGGCUUCAUUCUUGAAGUUGGUGAGACCAAGAACCCACCAAUUCUGGACACAGUUCCAUAAUUUUAAAUGAUGACUAUUGCAGUUUUCAUAAAUAAUCUAGGACACAAUUGGAGAAACUGGCUAUUUUACCAAGGCUUUGACUGGAAUGGCGUGAUUUCCUUGAAGGAAUCAAACUUGACUUAUGGAGCCAAUAAAAGCCCCUUAGGAAACUGGCCUCAUAUCUCGUCUACACAGUCCCUGUACAGGGUUCCUGACCUGUGGACAUGAGACUUCACAAUCUGCAAAAAUGAGCUUUCCUAAUAACUCAGGACGUACGCAUGUAGGAAUAAACCAUCCUAGCCAUGAGAGAUCAGAUGAAACCUGAGACCAGAGACUCGUUUUCUUCUAAAAUGCUUUCUCCAAAAGAUUCUAAAAAAGAAAAUGGAGGAAAUGUGAAAGGAAAAUAAAUCUUGGGUCUCCAAAAUUACUAAGCUAAAGGGAAAAAUCAAACUGGGAACUGUUCAGGGCAAAACUGCCUCUCAUUCUAUUCAGUCACCCCUCUACUCACUGAGAUAAAAGCAUAUCUGAUUGCCUUAUUUGAAGAGGCUAAUCAGAAACUCAAAAUAAUGCAAUCAUUUGUCUCUUAUCUACCUAUGACCUGGAAGCCCCCUCCCCACUUUAAGUCACGCCCACCUUUACCUCAAGUUGUCCCACCUUUCAGGACUGAAGCAAUGUUCAUCUUACACAUAUUGAUUGAUGUCUCAUGUCUCCCUAAAAUAUACAAAACCAAGCUCUUCUCCUACUAGCUUGGGCACAUAU